rnacentral:ncRNA from 1 species
AGGUUCGCUUUACGCGAUUAGCAAAGGGAACGGGGUGCAAAUCCCCGACUGUCUCGCAGCUGUGAGUUCCAUUAUCAGCAUCAGGCUCAAAGCCACUGCCCAUGAGGCGGGAAGGCGCCUGAGAGCGGAACGAAGUCAGAAGACCUGCCUGUUCAA